rnacentral:rRNA from 1 species
CCUGGUGGCUGUGGCGAGGGGUGCACACCUGAUCCCAUCCCGAACUCGGCCGUGAAAACCCUCAGCGCCCAUGGUACUGCGGCUCAAGUCGCGGGAGAGUAGGUCGCCGCCAGGC